CCUACGGGUGGCUGCAGUGGGGAAUAUUGGGCAAUGGACGCAAGUCUGACCCAGCAACGCCGCGUGAAGGAAGAAGGCUUUCGGGUUGUAAACUUCUCUCAAGGGGGAAGAGCAGAAGACGGUACCCCUUGAAUAAGCCACGGCUAUAUACGUGCCAGCAGCCGCGGUAAUACGUAGGUGGCAAGCGUUGUCCGGAUUUACUGGGUGUAAAGGGAGCGUAGACGGUGGGCCAAGUCUGGAGUGAAAUGCCGCAGCUUAACUGCGGAACUGCUUUGGAAACUGGCGAACUAGAGUGCGGGAGGGGUAAGCGGAAUUCCUAGUGUAGCGGUGAAAUGCGUAGAUAUUAGGAGGAACACCAGUGGCGAAGGCGGCUUACUGGACCGUAACUGACGUUGAGGCUCGAAAGCGUGGGGAGCAAACAGGAUUAGAUACCCGGGUAGUC
rnacentral:rRNA from 1 species